CAGGUUUUACUAAUGACCAAAUUGUUUCAAGCGAAUUUGGCACAUGUAAUACCUGCC
rnacentral:pre_miRNA from 1 species